UGAGGGAUGAGGAGCUGCAGGUGUGAGGGAUGAGGAACAGGUGUGAGGGAUGAGGAACAGGUGUGAGGGAUGAGGAACUGCAGCUGUGAGGGAUGAGGAGCUGCAGGUGUGAGGGAUGAGGAACAGGUGUGAGGGAUGAGGAGCAGGUGUGAGGGAUGAGGAGCACUGUGAGGGAUGAGGAGCACUGUGAGGGAUGAGGAGCAGGUGUGAGGGGAGGGAGCAGCUGGUGCUGGGAGGGCUCCGGGUGGCACCUGUGCUGAGGUGUUGGGCAGGAGAAGUUGGAGCCUGUCCCUGGAGCCGUGGAAAAGUUUUAAAAGAAAGAGUUUGUGCCUGCUGCCAACCCCCCUGUGAGCUGUGGAGGGCUCCAUGGACUGCUGGGCCACCAUAGCUGUACCAUGCACAGUGAGUGCUGCGUGAAACUGCUUUGUCUGUGAGUGGUUUUCGAAGGACAAAAAAGAGCUGGGGUGUUGUAGAGAGCCACAGCUGAGAGUAGGCUGUCAGGGCAGGGAGUGGCAGAAGCUGGAAUGCAGGUCCCUGCUCAGCAGCUGCUCAAAGCACCUUCCCCAGUCCUGCAGGCACCUGCUUCCCUGGAAACAACAGCUCCGAGACACCUGGGUGCUCUGCAAGGGGAAAUUGCGACCUUUCAAAUAGGAAACUAAAUAUGUCAGUGAUGACACAUUUUGAUUUCUUUCUUGGCGUACACAGUAUGUGCUGCGGUGCAGAGGAUUCCAGUUGCCAUAAUUUUCAGUGGAAAGAAUAAUUAUCACAGGGAACUGAGCUUGUACUCCCUAUGACUGGAAGGUUCCUGCAAAAAGAAGCCGAUAGGAGGCAGUGGCACCGCGACACGGCAGAACAGCACAAAAGGAGCUCUCAGCGUGUUGCAAAAUGUCAAGCACAAGAUUCAGCAAGUGCAACUUGCAGCAGUUUCAGAGUUUGCUGUUCUACUGGAGCCUGCCAGCCCCUAAACAUUUCUGUACAAUGGCACAGAUGGGACCAGGAGAUGAAUGAAGUUUUAAAACCCCUUCCGAAGCAUUUUGUAAACUCUAAUAUGAUGUGACUCAGUAAUCACUGAAACCUCAGAGACAACUGUUCAGAUGGAAGUUUUUAAUCAACCUAUUAACUAUUUUUAGUGAAACUCUCAGGAGUAUCAUUGAUCCUUGCCUUCUUUAAUAGUCUCAUGGCCCUCAAGAAUGUUUUGUUUUAAAAAGAUUCUGAGUCUGAAAAUGAUCCUGACAAGGAAACCAAGAUGUCUGCAGCUUCACCUGAACAGACAGUGUUUCCAGCUUACCAAGAACCACUAUUUACUAACUAGUCCCUUCUGGCUGGAGGUAUUGACUGCUGAGAGACUGAUGCUGCAGAAACAAUUGCUGGAUUGAGAAAUAAAUGUCAAGUCUACCAAAGUUCCAACAUUUCUAUAGAACCGUCUGGGAUUCAGUGCCGUUAGAAUUCAGCCUGUGUCUGCCCAGGAGUGGCAGAGCACCACAGUUGCGUGAUACCCAUUACUGGCUGCGCUGUUAAUUGUGGAAAGAGGUUACAAUCACAUUCCUGCCUUCUGCAUCGCGAUACCUCUUCCUGUUAGUUUUUACUACCCUGAAAAUAUGUUUGGGAAGUGACUUAUGGUGAUUGGAAGUCUCUUUAAAAAGUGACUGAAGCUCUGAAAUUAAAGUGCUCACGAAUUAUUGAAUUUUUGUGAAACUGAAAAAAAAAAUCAGUGUAGGUAUUGUAUAAAAGGGAUUAUGGCUUUAAAAAUGCGAAUGCUUCCCUUGAGAUACGCUCAUGAAAAUGUUAUUCAUGUGAUAAUCAGAUAAGUAUGUAAUAUGCUUUUUCUUCUCUCAUCUGUGUGUACCAUCUUUGUGACUUUUGUAUUCCAUUAUCAGGCUAUUGAUUAGUUGCUCAGAUAUAGUUACUUGGUUGGAGGCGGAGGAAAGGGAGUGAUUUUUUACUUUUAUCUGUGAUUUUGUACUCAUUGCUUAGCUUUUUAACAGGUGGAGCUUUAUUCAGGAAUGUGUAGUUUGUGAGACAUCAUACUGUCUGAACUAUUUGGUAUUAGUCAUACUUUGUAAACUGUUUAUUAAACUGAGCAUAAACAAUAAGCUACACGGAAUAAAUAUAUAGAAUAAUUAUUUUUAGAUUGCAGCAAGCUCUUCUGAAGCCUUCAUUUUACUGCAGUAACGUUCUCUUUGUAAAAUGAUGUAUUCAGAGCACAGUUCUGAUACUACCGUCAUUUAAAGCAGCAUAAAAAAUAGCAACUCAAAUAGUGUACUUACAUUACUGCGAAAGGCAAA